UGCUGCCAGUUGCCAACGGGUGAAGCCGGGCCACUCUGGCGGGACGUGCCAUCGACAAGAUGGAGGAAGGUGGGGAUGACGUCAAGUCAUCAUGGCCCUUAUGUCCAGGGCGACACACGUGCUACAAUGGCCGGGCACAGCGGGAAGCGAGGCAGUGAUGCCAAGCGGAUCCCUUAAAGCCGGUCUCAGUUCGGAUUGAAGUCUGCAACUCGACUUCAUGAAGCUGGAAUCGCUAGUAAUCGCAGAUCAGCCAAGCUGCGGUGAAUACGUUCCCGGGCCUU
rnacentral:rRNA from 1 species